rnacentral:rRNA from 1 species
GUCCAGACUCCUACGGGAGGCAGCAGUGAGGAAUAUUGGUCAAUGGGCUUACGCCUGAACCAGCCAAGUCGCGUGAGGGAAGACUGCCCUAUGGGUUGUAAACCUCUUUUGUCAGGGAGCAAUUGGCGCUACGUGUAGCGUUAUCGAGAGUACCUGAAGAAAAAGCAUCGGCUAACUCCGUGCCAGCAGCCGCGGUAAUACGUAGGGGGCAAGCGUUAUCCGGAUUUACUGGGUGUAAAGGGAGCGUAGACGGCGCUGCAAGUCCGGAGUGAAAGCCCAUGGCUUAACCAUGGUACUGCUCUGGAAACUGUGGAGCUUGAGUGCGGGAGGGGCAGGCGGAAUUCCUAGUGUAGCGGUGAAAUGCGUAGAUAUUAGGAGGAACACCGGCGGCGAAGGCGGUCUGCUGGACAGCAACUGACGCUGAGGCGCGAAAGCGUGGGGAGCAAACAGGAUUAGAUACCCCCGUACA